rnacentral:rRNA from 1 species
GAUUUUUUGGUUUUGGAUGGACUCGCGGCCUAUCAGCUUGUUGGUAUGGGUAAUGGCCUACCAAGGCGACGACGGGUAGCCGGCCUGAGAGGGUGACCGGCCACACUGGGACUGAGACACGGCCCAGACUCCUACGGGAGGCAGCAGUGGGGAAUAUUGCACAAUGGGCGAAAGCCUGAUGCAGCGACGCCGCGUGAGGGAUGACGGCCUUCGGGUUGUAAACCUCUUUCAGUAGGGAACAAGGCCGCACGUUGUGUGGUUGAGGGUACUUGCAGAAGAAGCGCCGGCUAACUACGUGCCAGCAGCCGCGGUAAUACGUAGGGCGCAAGCGUUAUCCGGAAUUAUUGGGCGUAAAGAGCUCGUAGGCGGUUUGUCGCGUCUGCCGUGAAAGUCCGGGGCUCAACUCCGGAUCUGCGGUGGGUACGGGCAGACUAGAGUGAUGUAGGGGAGACUGGAAUUCCUGGUGUAGCGGUGAAAUGCGCAGAUAUCAGGAGGAACACCGAUGGCGAAGGCAGGUCUCUGGGCAUUAACUGACGCUGAGGAGCGAAAGCAUGGGGAGCGAACAGGAUUAGAUACCCUGGUAGUCCAUGCCGUAAACGUUGGGCACUAGGUGUGGGGGACAUUCCACGUUUUCCGCGCCGUAGCUAACGCAUUAAGUGCCCCGCCUGGGGAGUACGGCCGCAAGGCUAAAACUCAAAGGAAUUGACGGGGGCCCGCACAAGCGGCGGAGCAUGCGGAUUAAUUCGAUGCAACGCGAAGAACCUUACCAAGGCUUGACAUGAACUGGAAACGCCCGGAAACGGGUGCCCCGCUUGCGGCCGGUUUACAGGUGGUGCAUGGUUGUCGUCAGCUCGUGUCGUGAGAUGUUGGGUUAAGUCCCGCAACGAGCGCAACCCUCGUUCUAUGUUGCCAGCACGUUAUGGUGGGGACUCAUGGGAGACUGCCGGGGUCAACUCGGAGGAAGGUGAGGACGACGUCAAAUCAUCAUGCCCCUUAUGUCUUGGGCUUCACGCAUGCUACAAUGGCCGGUACAAUGGGUUGCGAUACUGUGAGGUGGAGCUAAUCCCAAAAAGCCGGUCUCAGUUCGGAUUGGGGUCUGCAACUCGACCCCAUGAAGUCGGAGUCGCUAGUAAUCGCAGAUCAGCAACGCUGCGGUGAAUACGUUCCCGGGCCUUGUACACACCGCCCGUCAAGUCACGAAAGUUGGUAACACCCGAAGC